GGCGCCGGACCUCCUCCUUUAGUUUUGUCUAGUUUCCUGUCUCUCUUUCCUUCAAGGUCCGUCGGAGCUGGUUGAUCGGUGAAGAGAGUCUCGGUGGUGGUCCUUGCGCGACGGCGGCGCAGGCUCCACGGGGUCGUGGUGUCUGCGGUGGAGGAGGGGCGUUUCCUCUGUGGCUGCUGCUCCUUUCCUCUUCCGCCUUGUCCUCCUGCCCAGAUCUGCUUUUCCCUUUCUUUUUCCAGCGUUUUUCUCUUUUCAGGCGGUUUCCUCGGUGAGCUUCUCUGUCGGUGGUGACGUGCUCGCUGUCUUUAGCGUGGUUGGGUGGUGUUUCCUCUCCUCCCGUUUUGGUCCCUCUCUGCCUCUGGUUGUAAAUCGGUGUCCCCUUGGCAGUUGAGUGGUGGCGCCUUUACAUGAGUCAUCUUCGUCUCCAGCGGCGGCAAAUCGGACUUUGAGGACGGGUCCUAAGUCCGGCAAAGGUGUCAUUGGUUACUCUUGUCUUGUGUGGCUCAGCGUGGUGGCUCGCGUCUCUCCCACCUUGCGUGGCUCCACCUUCGGUGUCUCCCUGCGAUGGCUCAAGGCGGGUGGCUCAGCGGUAGUUUCUUGCAGCUCUUUUGGUGGUGAAGCUCCGGUGCCGUCUUCCAUCGGUGUGGCCAGGUUUCUCCGGCAGUGUGUGUUCCCAACCAAGGUGCGGUAGCUUUGCGUUUGUGCUUAAGGUCUCGGCUUGUGUUGGCUCCGGCGUAGUCUGGUGUUGAUUGUGGAGCAACUCUAGACGUGAGAUGUUGAGGCGCCGAUAUGUUGUGGCGGCUAGCGUGUAGCUGUGGGGGCUAGUUCUUGAGGAGAUUCGUUCUUUUUGGGAAUGGCGGUUGGAGGUGACUCUUCAAUUGCCCGCUCGGGCUCCUUUGUCGACAGAUGCAUGUUAGUCCGUUAUGGAUUUCGGAAAUCCUGUUAGUUCUCGGAGAAGCUGUAGGCGUUUUUCCCGGAGGUUUGAGGGCUGGCUUUACGGAUGUGAUGCUCGUGGCAACAAGGAUGAGAAUUCUAGCUCUUUUGAACUAUGGCAAAAAUAGGAUGGUCUGCGUUUCGGCGUGUGAUUGCUGCUUUCGCGUUUGGUUUUGCUUCGGUUUUCUUUUAUUAUUUUCGUUAACCGUUUUCUUAGCCUUCGUGUCUGCUAUAUCUUGGUUGUGGUUUUAUUGUCUGUAGUGUUUUUUUUCCGGUUAAUCUGUUUUCUUUGUAUUCUCCGUAAUUCUGUCAAAAACUCGAAAAUGGUAAUAAAAUCUUAACAUUUUUACCAAAAAAAAAAAA
rnacentral:lncRNA from 1 species